CAGUCGCCGCGGUAAUACGUAGGUGGCAAGCGUUGUCCGGAAUUAUUGGGCAUAAAGGGCUCGCAGGCGGUUUCUUAAGUCUGAUGUGAAAGCCCCCGGCUCAACCGGGGAGGGUCGUUGGAAACUGGGAAACUUGAGUGCAGAAGAGGAGAGUGGAAUUCCUCGUGUAGCGGUGAAAUGCGUAGAGAUGUGGAGGAACACCAGUGGCGAAGGCGACUCUCUGGUCUGUAACUGACGCUGAGGAGCGAAAGCGUGGGGAGCGAACAGGAUUAGAUACCCCCGUAGUCCCUGUCUCUUAUAC
rnacentral:rRNA from 1 species